UACGUAGGGUGCGAGCGUUAAUCGGAAUUACUGGGCGUAAAGGGCGCGUAGGCGGCCCAGCAAGUCGGGAGUGAAAGCCCGGGGCUCAACCCCGGAAUGGCUUUCGAAACUGCUGAGCUAGAGUACAGAAGGGGCAACCGGAAUUCCCAGUGUAGCGGUGAAAUGCGUAGAUAUUGGGAAGAACACCUGAGGCGAAGGCGGGUUGCUGGGCUGAUACUGACGCUGAGGCGCGAAAGCCAGGGGAGCAAACGGG
rnacentral:rRNA from 1 species